AUACACAUAUUAGCAAUGGAAAAAUAUCUGGUUGUGUAUGAUAGAAAGUUUGGUAUUGAAGCCAAAGAUUUUAUUGAAAAAAAAUCCACAUCCAUGAUGCAGUCUGUUUUCAAUGAUCAUUCCUACCAUGAGAUGCGACCUGAAGAAGACUUGUUUAGUGCAGUGUGCAGGGAGGUUCAGUAGAUUGCUGUAAAACCAGUGAAUAGUCCAUGGGGGGUUUGUACUUUUGUGUAUUCAAAAGUAACGCCGCCCCAGCCCGAGUUAAAAUGUUGCAGCUGCUCGUCAUAUCAUUGCAUUCAUGUGACAACCCGUGCAAAAGCCAUGCAAAUCGUUGACGAGGAUGAAAUGGAUUCUCCAUUGGCACUUUUUAAGUUUUCCUUUGGAAUUACACCAGAGAUGCGAGACUAUUUUGAAUUGGCUACACUUAGCAAAGAAAAGGUUUCUUUAUUUGAAACAGGCAAUGAGAAUGAUGCAAGCGAUUUUACUGAUCUUCCUGAAAAAAAUGGUCAUAAAAUUUUGGCGCCAUCUGAAAGUGGUAUUUGCUCUUGUGGUGCAGAGUGGGAUAAGCGUUCUAUUCAAGAUGAAUGGUUGUACGUAGACGUGUGUUCAGUUGCGUACUUUUAUUCAAUCCAUGAUGUGAAGGUUUACCUAUGUACAAAUAUUAUGUUGCGUAUGUACAAAGGCAAGUGUCUUCUGGUAAUUUUAAUUUCCCAAAGGAAAUAACUUACGCCAAGUUUCGUCUCGCUAUCAUUGCCAUGAUACGGUUGCUUAAUAUUGAUUUUGACAAUGGGUUUUUUUUGUGAAUUAUGUGGAAGAAUUCCCCAAAAGGUGGUGAUGGAUGGAACAACUCUUGGAAUACAGAAAACUUUCUUACCAAAUAAUUUAAGAGAGUCUGAUACUGGAUUGCUAGAUGGAAGA